CCUGACGUACGCUACUCAGUUGCCAGCUCGAGGCCAUACUCAUAGUCAGCGAAAUAUAGGGGAAAC
ensembl:ncRNA F41D3.16 ncRNA